rnacentral:rRNA from 1 species
UACGGAGGGUGCGAGCGUUGUCCGGAAUCAUUGGGCGUAAAGGGCGCGUAGGUGGCCCGGUCAGUCCGUGGUGAAAUCUCGUUGCUUAACAACGAACGUGCCAUUGAUACUGUAGGACUUGAGUACAGUUGCCGUUGGCGGAAUGUGUCAUGUAGCGGUGAAAUGCAUAGAUAUGACACAGAACACCGAUUGCGAAGGCAGCUGACGAAACUGUAACUGACGCUGAGGCUCGAAAGCGUGGGGAUCAAACAGG